rnacentral:rRNA from 1 species
UACGGAGGGUGCAAGCGUUAUCCGGAUUCACUGGGUUUAAAGGGUGCGUAGGUGGGUUAGUAAGUCAGUGGUGAAAUCCCCGAGCUUAACUUGGGAACUGCCAUUGAUACUAUUAGUCUUGAAUACCGUGGAGGUCGGCGGAAUAUGUCAUGUAGCGGUGAAGUGCUUAGAUAUGACAUAGAACACCAAUUGCGAAGGCAGCUGACUACGCGAGUAUUGACACUGAGGCACGAAAGCGUGGGGAUCAAACAGG